ACACGUAGGGGGCGAGCGUUGUCCGGAAUUACUGGGCGUAAAGGGCGCGUAGGCGGUCUAAUAAGUCAGAUGUGAAAAUCCUGGGCUUAACCCAGGGCUUGCAUUUGAAACUGUUGGGCUUGAGGACAGGAGAGGAAAGCGGAAUUCCCAGUGUAGCGGUGAAAUGCGUAGAUAUUGGGAGGAACACCAGUGGCGAAGGCGGCUUUCUGGACUGCACCUGACGCUGAGGCGCGAAAGCCAGGGGAGCAAACGGGAUUAGAUACCCCGGUAGUCCUGGCCGUAAACGAUGGAUACUAGGUGUGGGAGGUAUCGACCCCUUCCGUGCCGCAGUUAACACAAUAAGUAUCCCGCCUGGGGAGUACGGCCGCAAGGCUGAA
rnacentral:rRNA from 1 species